UGUCUUUGUACUUUCAUGAAGUAUUUCCUUCCAAACUUCCAGUUUUGUAACUCAUAAUGAAAGCAUUUCCUCCUCGCAGUGUCCUGCAGGAGAGGCCGUGCUCAAUGAGGUGCAGCUGCCUUGUCAGCGCUGUACCAAUAAGGUGGGAGGGAAACAAGGAGGACGCCAGAUGGCAAUAACACUUAGUGCUCUUCAUUGAAGAUACCUAUCGAAUACGUCUCUAAGUGCAGCAUUAAAGAAGUGGUGACUAAUUGAGGGCUGAUGAGCCAAGCUCACUUCAAAAGUAGUGAUUAAUAAUGAAUCAGCUUAUAACUGUCCACCUCAGAAUGAGUCACGGGGGGUUUAUUUGAUUAUAAAUAAAAUGAAAAAUAAACCAUUUUUUUACACACCAGCUUAAGUAGUGACCGGCUAACAAGGGAAGGGGCAUCAGCCAUAUUUUUUAACACAGUGGCUGGCAUGUGGCAAGCGGCGAGGGCUAGGAAACAGCUGAUGACGAAGGAUUAGGACCGACUUGGUGGAAUGGGGCCGACCGCAUCAGAGGAGCGCAUACAUACCGGGAGUUUGAUGCACACUGAGAAACAUCCUAGAAGCCAGAGCUCUGCGCUCCAAAGUAAAUUCCAAACAGUCACGGGGGAAAGGAGCAGAUGCAUGCCAGCAUAAUAAAUCCUCCGCUUCGUAUCAAAAAGGUCAUCUGCAUACACAAGAUUGAUGUGCGCAGCGUUCAGGUGCUGAACAUCUGUCUGAUCGCAGUGAAUCAAAAACGUGCAUGCCG